rfam:Capsicum annuum cultivar Zunla-1 chromosome 4, whole genome shotgun sequence
AAAAAGUGUUGGUUGGCUAAAUAUGCCACUCUCACCUAUAGGGUGAGUGUUGUAUGGUUAUCAAUACAUAUGGUCAACAUAAUUUGUGGAACCCACCAUAGGGUUGGCUCUCAUUUGCCGACCCUCUA